CCGAAUUGGACCGAGGUUUUGGCUAGCCCCCCAUUGUCAGACGUCCCGAGCGCGUUCCCGAAGUCGGAAUCGGCAAAGGUGAUCCGGGACAACCUUCUUCCUCCGCCCAGCCGCCACAGUGAUUGUCGUCAAGUCUGCCGCAGGAGGAUAUUUUAUUCUGGGUUAACCUGCUUUUAUACUUCGCAGGUUGUUUAUCGAUAUUUGUGUAAUUUUAUUUACUCCUAGAAUUUCCGCAUGUGUUAGCAGUAAUUAUUUGAAUUUGGUCUGUAAUAUUAUUAUCAUGUUGGACCUGUAAACUUAAUAUUUUAAGUCUGUUUUGAUGGAUUGGAUGAGGGAGCUGAGCUCCCAUUUAUUAUUA